AUUGAACGCUGGCGGCAUGCUUUACACAUGCAAGUCGAACGGUAACAGGGAGCUUGCUCCGCUGACGAGUGGCGAACGGGUGAGUAAUGCAUCGGAACGUACCCAGUCGUGGGGGGAUAACGUAGCGAAAGUUACGCUAAUACCGCAUACGUCCUGAGGGAGAAAGCGGGGGACCGAAAGGCCUCGCGCGAUUGGAGCGGCCGAUGUCGGAUUAGCUAGUUGGUAGGGUAAAGGCCUACCAAGGCGACGAUCCGUAGCGGGUCUGAGAGGAUGAUCCGCCACACUGGGACUGAGACACGGCCCAGACUCCUACGGGAGGCAGCAGUGGGGAAUUUUGGACAAUGGGCGCAAGCCUGAUCCAGCCAUGCCGCGUGAGUGAAGAAGGCC
rnacentral:rRNA from 1 species